UGCGUUCUGAAACCUAGUCGUCAACCUUCUUUAUAGGAAUUGAAUUCAUUGAAGAUUUUUGCUGUAAACCGGUGUAAUUAAUAUAGCUGCCAAGUUCUGUUCGGAGAAAUUGUAUCGCGAAUCGCAAAGAACAAGCUUCAACAUUGACUUGAGUUGCGGGCACUUGAUGUAUAAUUACGGUGACCAUUCGUAUCGAUUUUGGCGGGACAAUACCGAUUUAGAGAAAAUUUUCCCGCUGAAUAUUUUUUAAAAGUCGGAACGUAUGUAUAAGAGCCGCGAAUUUUCAUAUUUGUACCGAUUAUGUCCCGAUUUCCAGUGAUUUCUUUAUUAAUUUAAAAAGGUCUAACUGUACACUGACCCAAAAAUUAUUUUUCUUGCAAAAGUGGCAGCACAUUCGUUAUCACAAAGUACAUGAUUAUAAGGGGCCAUAAACAUAGCCAGCAUCCUUACUUUCUAUGAUCUUUGGUUACGUUUUAUUCUAUCAAACUGGUACUCUCCCUAUAUUGCAUGUUCUUUGUUAUAA